rnacentral:rRNA from 1 species
AGUACGCUGGCGGCACGCCUUAUACAUGCAAGUCGAACGAAGUAGCAAUACUUAGUGGCAGACGGGUGAGUAACAUGUGGGUAUCUUCCCUUUGGUGAGGAAUAACACGAGGAAACUUGUGCUAAUACCUCAUAAGUCUUUACGGAGAAAGCUUUAUGCGCCAAUGGAUGAGCCCGCACUUGAUUAGUUUGUUGGUGGGGUAAUGGCCUACCAAGACUGUGAUCAAUAGCUGAUUUGAGAGGAUGAUCAGCCACAUUGGGACUGAGACACGGCCCAAACUCCUACGGGAGGCAGCAGUAGGGAAUCUUGCACAAUGGAGGAAACUCUGAUGCAGCGAUGCCGCGUGAGUGAAGAAGGCCUUUGGGUUGUAAAGCUCUUUCGUCGGGGAAGAAAAUGACUGUACCCGAAUAAGAAGGUCCGGCUAACUUCGUGCCAGCAGCCGCGGUAAUACGAAGGGACCUAGCGUAGUUCGGAAUUACUGGGCUUAAAGAGUUCGUAGGUGGUUAAAAAAGUUGGUGGUGAAAUCCCAGAGCUUAACUCUGGAACUGCCAUCAAAACUUUUUAGCUAGAGUAUGAUAGAGGAAAGCAGAAUUUCUAGUGUAGAGGUGAAAUUCGUAGAUAUUAGAAAGAAUACCAAUUGCGAAGGCAGCUUUCUGGAUCAUUACUGACACUGAGGAACGAAAGCAUGGGUAGCGAAGAGGAUUAGAUACCCUCGUAGUCCAUGCCGUAAACGAUGUGUGUUAGAUGUUGGAAAUUUAUUUUCAGUAUCGCAGCGAAAGCAAUAAACACACCGCCUGGGGAGUACGACCGCAAGUAAACUCAUGAUAG